UACGUAGGUUGCGAGCGUUAUUCGGAUUUACUGGGCGUAAAGCGCACCGAGGUGGCUUCUUAAGUUGGAUGUAAAAUCUCCCGGCUUAACUGGGAGGCGCCAUUCAAUACUGAGGAGCUUGAGGUCAGCAGGGGAAAGUGGAAUUCCCGGUGUAGUGGUGGAAUGCGUAGAGAUCGGGAGGAACACCAGUGGCGAAGGCGGUUGCCUGGAGCUUUGCUGACGCUGAGGCGCGAAAGCGUGGGGAGCGAUCCGG
rnacentral:rRNA from 1 species